rnacentral:rRNA from 1 species
UACGUAGGGUGCAAGCGUUGUCCGGAAUUAUUGGGCGUAAAGAGCUUGUAGGCGGUUUGUCGCGUCUGCUGUGAAAUUUCGGGGCUCAACCCCGAGCUUGCAGUGGGUACGGGCAGACUAGAGUGUGGUAGGGGAGACUGGAAUUCCUGGUGUAGCGGUGAAAUGCGCAGAUAUCAGGAGGAACACCGAUGGCGAAGGCAGGUCUCUGGGCCACUACUGACGCUGAGAAGCGAAAGCAUGGGGAGCGAACAGG